rnacentral:lncRNA from 1 species
GUCAAUAAAUUUAAUACCACAACCAACUUUCUUAAUAAUUAAAAAUUAAUUAUUAAAACAAUUAAAAAUUAAAAAUGAUUAACAAAAAUAAAAAAUUUAAAUUGAGAGAAGACAUCUCUCUCUAACUAUAAAGGCAAUUAGACUUGGAGAGAAACUGUGUACCAUAAAGCUGCUUCAGAGUUACCUAAUUCAUUGGUCUACCCUAUAAACUGCAAAUUGGUUUGCAAAAAUUCACAAACAAUUCUAACAUACCAAAGAUGCAAUGUCUUCUUAAUUUUACUCACACAAUUUUAUAAUAACUGCAUUAAUAUAAUAUCACAGAUUCCUAUGCAACAAUAGAACAAACACUUGAGCAACUUUAUGCUAAGAGAAAUGUUGGACUACCUUUAUUUAUAGAUAGUUUAUAAGCUCCUAAUGUUUUCCAAACAAUUAGUUCAAUUUCUUUCUUUUAUUAUUUUUUAUGUUGAAGGUAUG